rnacentral:rRNA from 1 species
GCCGCGGUAUUUUGACCGUGCAAAGGUAGCGCAAUCACUUGUCUCUUAAAUAGAGACCUGUAUGAAUGGCUAGACGAGGGCUUAACUGUCUCCCCCUUCCAGUCAGUGAAAUUGAUCUAUCCGUGCAGAAGCGGGUAUAAUUAUACAAGACGAGAAGACCCUUUGGAGCUUAAGGUACAAAGUUCAACCACGUUAAACGACUCCAUGAAAAGCAAGAACUUAGUGGCGAAUGAAACUUUACCUUCGGUUGGGGCGACCACGGAGGAGAAGAAAGCCUCCGAGUGGACUGGGCUAAUCCCCAAAGCCAAGAGAUACAUCUAUAAGCCGCAGAACAUCUGACCAAAAAUGAUCCGACUGAAAAGCCGAUCAACGAACCAAGUUACCCUAGGGAUAACAGCGCAAUCCUCUCCCAGAGUCCAUAUCGACGAGGGGGUUUACGACCUCGAUGUUGGAUCAGGACAUCCUAAUGGUGCAGCCGCUAUUAAGGGUUCGUUUGUUCAACGAUUAAAGUCCUACGUGAUCU